CUAGCAGUGCUCAACACCAUAGUUCUCUCUAUUUACAGAGCAGAUGCAGCAUAGAUAGCAGCUGUGCCAACUUCCCCACAACACCCCCAGCCAGUGUGCCUCAAAUUUGACCUGGAAGGACCAGUCCUAGGGAAGAGAGGACAGGCCCCACUUCUGUGGCCCUUCUGGUCCUUUGCAUUG
rnacentral:sRNA from 1 species